AACGAACGCUGGCGGCAGGCUUAACACAUGCAAGUCGAACGCCCCGCAAGGGAGUGGCAGACGGGUGAGUAACACGUGGGAACGUGCCCUAAGGUUCGGAAUAUUCCCGGGAAACUGGGAGCAAUACCGAAUGUGACCGCAAGGUGAAAGAUUUAUCGCCUUAGGAUCGGCCCGCGUCGGAUUAGCUAGUUGGUGGGGUAAAAGCCUACCAAGGCGACGAUCCGUAGCUGGUCUGAGAGGACGACCAGCCACACUGGGACUGAGACACGGCCCAGACUCCUACGGGAGGCAGCAGUGGGGAAUCUUGGACAAUGGGCGCAAGCCUGAUCCAGCCAUGCCGCGUGAGUGAUGAAGGCCUUAGGGUUGUAAAACUCUUUCGCCGAGGACGAUAAUGACGGUACUCGGAGAAGAAGCUCCGGCUAACUUCGUGCCAGCCGCCGCGGUAAC
rnacentral:rRNA from 1 species